GGGGUACCGGUAGGGAGGCAACAAGAUAAAAGACAGCCAGGCUCCUUCUCCCUGGAGACGUGUUGCCUGUCAACCUCAAUCCAUUCCCUUAAUCCUUUUCUGCCUCCCCACCCCCACAACUCCUCACUUGACCAGUGUCCUGGGCCUUUAAGAGUUAGAUCGGCUGGACUGAGGAAAGCGCUCCGCUCCCACCUCUCCCCAGCCUACUCCUUCUCCUUGACUGUAACUCUGCCAGUCAGGGCAGCAAACUGCAGUUGAAGACUGCAGUCAAGUGCAAAGGAGAAGAGGAGCCGGGCUGAGCCUUCCCGUUCUCCGCGGAGAGCACUGCAGAGCUCCGGAGGCGUUGCUCGCAGACAGGAUCGCUGCUAUCUUACCCGCGGACUCACCCAAAGCCCUUGGCUCCUCCUUGUUCCUUUAAGUGACUCUGGCACCAGCUGGUGGAGCAGUGGGUGAUGGCAUCUCAGAUUCAAGACCGACUGACCACUGAUCAGGACCUGCUGCUGAUGCAAGAAGGCAUGAUGAUGCGCAAGGUGAGGACCAGAUUCUGGAAGAAGCUAAGAUUCUUCAGACUUCAGAAUGACGGCAUGACAGUCUGGCACGCACAGCAAGCCGAUGACAUAGCCAAGCUCACUUGGCUCCCACCUGUUUCUUCUCUGACAGUUUCAAUCUCUGAUGUGGAGACAAUACGUAAGGGCCAUGAUUCUGAGUUGUUGCGCGAUCUAGUGGAAGAGUUCCCCCUGGAGCAAGGCUUCACCAUUGUCUUUCAUGGUCGCCGCCCCAACCUGGACCUAGUAGCCAGCAGCGUUGAAGAGGCUCAGAUUUGGAUGCGAGGACUCCAGCUGUUGGUGGAUCUUGUUGCCAGCAUGGACCACCAGGAGCAACUAGACCAAUGGGUGAGUGAGUGGUUCCAGCGAGGGGACAGGAACCAGGACGGCAGGAUGAGUUUCGGAGAAGCCCAGCGGCUGCUGCUUCUGAUGAACGUGGAAAUGGAUCAAGACUAUGCCCUCCAUCUUUUUCAGACAGCAGAUGUGUCCCAGUCUGAUACUCUAGAAGGGGAAGAAUUUGUACAUUUCUAUAAGGCACUGACUAAGCGUACUGAGGUUGAGCAACUAUUCGAGCACUUUUCAUCAGAUGGACAGAAGUUGACCCUGCUGGAGUUUGCGGAUUUCCUUAGAGAGGAUCAGAAAGAAAAAGAAAACGCCCACGACCUUGCUCUGGAAUUCAUUGACCUCUAUGAACCUUCAGAGAAUGGCAGAUUGCGGCACGUACUGAGCAAGGACGGCUUCCUCAGAUAUCUCUGCUCGAAGGACGGGAACAUCUUCAACCCAGACUGCCUCCCUGUCUACCAGGAUAUGACUCAGCCUCUGAACCACUACUACAUCAACUCCUCUCACAACACCUACCUACUGAGGGACCAGCUUUGUGGCCAGAGCAGCGUGGAAGGAUACAUUCGGGCCUUGAAGCGGGGGUGCCGCUGUGUGGAGGUGGAUGUAUGGGAUGGACCUGGAGGGGAGCCCAUUGUUUACCAUGGACAUACCUUGACCUCUCGCAUCCUGUUCAAAGAUGUCGUGGCGACACUGGCACAGUAUGCCUUCCAGUUCUCAGACUACCCCCUCAUCCUGUCUCUGGAGAACCACUGUACCUGGGAUCAGCAGCAUACCUUGGCACAACAUCUGACUGAGAUACUGGGAGAGCAGCUGCUGAGUACCACCAUAGAUGGAGUGCUGAUGGAUAAGCUGCCCUCUCCAGAGCAGCUUCGAGGGAAGGUCUUGCUGAAAGGAAGGAAGUUAAGCACAAUUGAGGCGGAUAUUGAGGAUAUUGAUGAAGAGGAAGAACUGGAGGACGAUCAGGAGUCAGAGCUGGAUGCAGACCCCUACCCUGAGUUGGAUGCUCUGCUUCAGCCUGAGUCCCAGGAGUUGACCUCUGGGAAAAAGCACAUUAAGAAGGUUAUGGCGUGUCCGGUGUCUUGUCUGCUUAUCUGUGGUAACGUUUUGGCCCAGACUCCUAGUUAUGUUCCUGGGUCCUCUUUCUUGCCCAACCAGGAUUCCGCGACCAUCUUGUGCCCAGACCUGUCUGCCCUGGUUGUCUACUUAAGGACUGUCCCCUUCUGCAGCUUCACUCAUUCCAAAGAAAAUUAUUAUAUCUGUGAUAUUUCAUCCUUCUCUGAGAGCAAGGCCAGGCACCUUGUCAAGGAGGCAGGCAACGAGUUUGUACAGCACAAUGCCAGGCAGUUAUGCCGUGUGUACCCCAGUGCUUUGAGGACGGAUUCAUCAAAUUUUCACCCCCAGGAACUCUGGAAUGCAGGCUGCCAUAUGGUGGCAAUGAAUAUGCAGACUCCAGGGAGUGCCAUGGAUAUCUGUGAUGGGUUCUUCCGCCAGAAUGGUGGCUCUGGCUACGUGCUGAAGCCAGAAUUCCUGUGUGAUAUCCAGAGUUCCUUUGAUCCUGAGAGGCCCAUUAGUCUUUAUAAGGCCAAGCUCCUCUUAGUCCAGGUCAUCAGCGGCCAACAGCUCCCCAAAGUGGACAGCACCAAAGAGAAGUCCGUGGUGGAUCCACUGGUGAAGGUUGAGCUCUUUGGUGUCCCUGAAGACAAUAGGCAGCAAGAAACCAGCUAUGUGGAGAACAACGGUUUUAAUCCAUACUGGGGGCAGACAUUCUGUUUCCGGGUCCAGGUGCCUGAACUUGCUAUACUGCGUUUUGUGGUAAAGGAUUAUAACUGGACAUCCCGGAAUAAGUUUAUUGGUCAAUACACCCUGCCCUGGACCUGCAUGAAACAAGGUGAGGCAGUCCUUGGACUCUUGGCCAAUAUCCCAACUCUGGCUCCUAACACAGUCCUUCUGCCCAUUUCCAGGUUACCGACACAUAUCCUUGCUCUCCAGGGAUGGCACUAGCCUCCACCCAGCUUCCAUCUUUGUGUAUAUCUGCAUGCGGGAAGCCUUGGAGGAGGAUGAAUCCUGAGAAACACGAGGAGGGACUCAAAGCAGAAAAAUCUAUAGAAGCAUUAUCCCCUCCAACCUACAAGUCUCUCAAAAUCCAGAGCCAACAAAAGGAUCAAUCAAGGAUCAAGGCUCCCAAAGGUUGGGGAAGGAUGCCUG